rnacentral:lncRNA from 1 species
AGAAGAAGAGAAGAAGAAAAGAAGAGAGAAAGAAAGGCUAGAGAUUGGGGAAGGAGAGGCUUGAGAGAGAAAAGAAUAGCCAUGUCAUCUUCUAUCAAGGUAUUCUCAAAUUUCUUUUUAGUUUUAAAAGUCUAGUUUCUCUUCCCAAAUUCUCUGUAGAAUUUUUGUGUAAGCAUGAAUUAUGUGUUAUGUGGCUUUAUAUGACUUAUUAGUGAUGUUAAAAAGAUUUUCAUAAGUUAUAAUCUAUGAAUUGAUGAUAUGUAUGUAAUUUGGGAAGAAAAAUAUUUUACAGUGAGUUUUGGUGAUUAUAUAUUGUCUAGUUAAAAUAGAAAUUAUGGGUUGAAUAGUUGUUUUAUUGAUAAAUUGGCUUUUCAAUUUGUUAGAGUAUAUAUAUACUUUGAUAAAAUGCUUUGAAUUAAUGGUUUUAGUUGCAAAACAAAAUUACAGUGGUUGUUUUCUUCAAAAAUAUCAAAAAAAUGAGUUUUAGCCAAAAACAAUGAAAUUGGGUGUGUUAAUUUUGUUGUUUAUGUUGUUAUAUGAGUAGAAACAUGUUAGGAAUCCUUGAAUUAUGUUUACAUGAAGUUUUGUAUGAAUUAUAUGUAAAUCAGUCUGUUAGAAACGAACUUGUAGGCCAAAAUUGGCUUUUUCCUGUGCUGUUGCCGAAGCUAUCAGUCGAGACUGCAGUUUUGCGCCGCGGCGCGGCCCAGCAGUAGUAGUUUGGCGCCGCAGCGCCAGCACCACGCCGCAGCGCGGCCUUGUAGCCUUAUUCAUCGCGUCGCAGUGCCAUGUUCACGCCGCAGCGUGACCCACAGUGUAAACUGUGGCGCCGCGGCGCGAGUUAGCAGAAUGGUCUGACAGUGUACUUUUUGUACACGAAAUUUUAAGAAAAGUUAUGUGAUGAUAGUAGGACUGCUAAAUGUUGAUUUUAGUAUAUCUAUACUAUGAAUAAAUAUGUUAUUAACGAUUAACUUGUGUUAUAACUCGAUUAUGUGAUUAAAAAUUCAAUUUUAAAUGAUGAAUGUACUUAGUUAUGUUUGUAAGAUGGUAAUGACUAAUUAUGUCAUGAUGACAUAUGUUUAUAGGAUAUUGUGAUUUGUAUUGAUUUGGUUUAGCCUACGANNNNNNNNNNNNNNNNNNNNNNNNNNNNNNNNNNNNNNNNNNNNNNNNNNNNNNNNNNNNNNNNNNNNNNNNNNNNNNNNNNNNNNNNNNNNNNNNNNNNUUGUGCACAAUACAUGGUACGAAGGGCUGAUCCCCCUAAGUACGAGGAGUCCUUAUAGUCUUAUGACUGUUAAAGUUGGAGUUGAAAGAUUACUCGCAACUGUGGACAUAGUUCAUGGUCUUAUGACCUUCAGUUAUAUUUAUUCCACAUUUUGGAUUUCAGUUUUUGAUUAUUUAUGAUAGAGUACUAUUCAUUGUUGAUGAGCCAAUUAUUGGCAAUUAUUGUUGCUAUACUCCUGUUGAUUCUAUAUUACAUCCAGUGAGCAAUUGUUUUGCUCACUCUUGCAUAUUUUAAAACUCAUUGCAGCUAAAGAAGAGAAGGUAGAUGAACCUUCGUCUAGCAAAGGAAAGGGAAAAAUGUACAAGUGAUGAAUACUUGUAAUUUUUACUUUAUACUUUUAUUAUGAUGAUCUUAGACUUGGUUUUAAUGAAGUUUAUUUAAUUUCCGCAUUUGAAUGAUUGUAUUUAAAGGUUAGAUAACUUGGGAGAUUUUAUUAUGCAACCCUUUAAUGGGAAAUGUUUUAUUUAUCCAGUUUUAUUGUGAUUGGGUAGUUAGAUAUGAAUGUUUGAUUAAGUGAACAUCAAAUCCUGUGGGAAUGAAGUACCUGGAUUUGGGGGUGUCACGGGAUUAGUAUGAACAGUGAUCUGUCAUGAAUUUACAACCUACGCAUGGUUUUAUGUGGCAAUACUAGAAUUUCAUUUUGUGUUGGAGAGUAGCUAGUUCUUUUAUUGCUUCUUAACUUGUAUUAACUUCCAAAAUGGUCACUGUAUGAGGUUAGCUUCUAGAUAUCUUGUGAUUUCGGAGGGUCUUUAUUUCUGGACCAACCGAACCCAUUAAUUUUUCUCUCUUUCACACCAAUACCUACUUGCCUAUUUAUCAACUUUAUUACUCUAUUAAAAAUAUGAACUUUUAUUGUUUUUAACCGUGGUUGAUGUCAUCAUGCACUGCUUUACAGUUACUAAAGGUUAUUUAUAGCUUUUGACCUCAAUAAUAUUGUAUUAGCCACAACUAUCAGACUUUCUGAUGGUCCCUUGUAUUUUUGAUAUACACCACUUUAUGGUAAUUUGAUUAUUCUAUUCAAUUCAGUAGAUCAUUGACAGUAUAGAGAUUUCGGGUAAGGUUAGUUUUUCAACAUUUAUAAGUUGGCAAUUAUGAUUACUAGAGUAAGAGUAGUAUUAUAGUGAUGACAAAUGCUUUCUAGUUUUAGAUUGUUACUAUAUUUUCUUCGUAACGUUUUAUUAUGACAAUCUAAGUUGAUGUUGCUGUUCGUUACAGCUUAUGUAAUAGUAACACAGUAACAUAUCGACGAUGAUGUAACUGGCCAAACCAAUGUCUAAUGCUGUAUACCACUGCUUGUCGCCCCUUCACCCCUGAAACACCACCCACCUGGCUGCAAUCAUUUACUAUGUCCCAAAUUAAAAGUUCCGUUUUGACUUUCACAUACUUUAUAGAAAAGUAGAAAAUUUGGCAAAUAAAUUAUGCAAAGCUUCAAAGUAAAAAAUACAUCUUUGGUGAUAUAUCCAUAGUGAAAGGAAAUCUUAAAUCAGAAGGCUUUAUUAUGGUAUUGUAUCCUGAUUAAAAUAUUUCAGAGGUUAGCAGAAGAUUUGUACUGCAUAUUUGCAGCUAGUUUUUACUAUCAUUAUGGUCAGACUGUCAGCCCUUUAGUGUAUGAUCACCUUGUUGCCCUCUCCACCUUUAAUAAAUAUUCAACUCCAUUUUGAGGCAUUCAAUUGUUUUGGUCAUACUGCUCAUUUGUUUGGUAAAUGUUAUUAUGGCCUCGCUUAUGACAUCAUGUCUCUUUUCUUCAUCUUUCACUGUAGUUUGUAAAAUUUUAAAUUUUAUUUUGUUUGAAUAUGCGUGUGUCAUCUGAUGGAGCAAUGUAGAGGCCAUUUCUGGCUUCUUGGGUUACCAUAUCUAGCUAGAAAUAGACUGGAUAUACAUAUAAAGAAAUUCUACAUUGUUUCGUACCUCUUUGAUUAUGUUCUCUCUUACAAUUGUUGCAGCAGCCAAGAUCUCUAUAUUUUGAUAAAAUGAGUGUAUGUUUUACACUUGUUAGGUGGGAAGUACUACAAAAAGGCAUUGUUUAAUGUCAUACAAAAAGACAUUGUCUGAACCCAAAGCAGCCAUUUUAAAUGAGUUUUACAAUUACCUGGUUCUAGAUAUGAUCUUCAGUUUCCUUUGUUUAUAUAAAUUUUUUUAUAAUAUUGAAUGACAACCUUGUGCUAUGAAGUUUAUCUAUAGUUUGGGUGAUGGACCAACUUUCAGCAUAGGCACUAUUGUAGUUUAAUUGGCUGAUAAUCUCUCUGUUCCCUUGUCAUGAACUCGGACAGAGCAGAAACGAAAGCAAAUUUAGUUAACAUGUGUAUGGCUCCGAAGAAAGAUUAAAAACAAUUUUAAAUUCACUGUGACCUUUAAUAAAUCUUCCAAACAAUGUAGAGUUUCUGACUAAUCUCUGUCCAAGCUUCAUUCAGAUCAGGGAUUGCCAUGAGUUCUUUGUGAGUCUGGACAUUGAACCGUCAUAUAGGGAUUCAAUUUUCUGUGCUAGUUUACUUGUUGUACGCUUACUAGCUAAUCUUUACGAAGUCUAUAGAUGAUAGGUUGUCAUGCCAGAGACCUGGCCUUGGAUCCCUUCAUCAAGAUUCCAGAAUGUGGGCAUCAAUUUGUGGCCCAUGAUUGCUUUUGACAAAGAAGAAGAAGAAGGACCCAAUUGAUCUUCUAUUAUCUGAAAUCCUUUAGAGAAAAGUAGGUUGGCUGUUUUAAAGAUCUGGCAGUUACUGUACCCCAUACUUUCUGUAUAAGCAUUAAAGCCGUCAAGAAAAAUCUAGUUGUCACUUAUAGAUGAUGUUUGCAAUACUUGUGAAUAUUGCUUUGGUACCUGAGUAAGAUGUAUUUGAAAAAGUAUUUCAUGUUUAACCAUGUUUCCUGUGCAAUACUUUUUGGUGAUGCAGGGAAGAAAACAUAGCUUCACUGAACUGUCAGAGUUGCCACUUCAAGGUUCACCUGAUAUACUUAACUGCAAUCUUACUUAUGUCAACAAACUUCGCGAGUAUUGGCACAGAGGCCAGAAUGAUCUUGUCAUUGAUGACCAGGUAGCUUGCUCUUUAAUGUUCUUAUCCUCAUUGCUUCUCUGUUCUGCAUAUGUCUAUGAUGUCUCAAAUACCAUGACUUCAAUUUUGUGCUUGAAGAAAAUAAAAGUCGGAUUUGUGUGUGUGCACGCGUGCGUGUUGUGUGUGUGUAUAUAGAGAGAGAAAGGGAGAGAUAUUAUUCCUUCGGAACGAGGAGCAAUCUCCCAUACAGUGGUAUAUAUAGGCUUAUAAAGUACAUUCGUGGAGCACUACAAUAUGAGGUGCACUAGUAGUAGUGCUUGCUAUAUCAAUCCAGCAGAUUGCAGUCCAUGACCAUAUCAAUGGCUAUAACGUAAGAUACAAUUAAACAUAAAUAGUACUUGAGUUACAUAUCAUUUGUAAUAACAUUACCCUUGAAAAUGGCAUAUUAUUAAUUUCAAUGUAACUUCUAAAUUUUGCGCUAAUUACUAGAAACUUUCUGGCAUAUGAAUGCAUUUAAUGAAUGUUAAAUGAUGAAAGCUCGCAAGUUUAAAUUGAUUCUAGUUGCACUGCCCUCGAUUUGAUCCCACUCCAUCCUUACGUUGAGCUGAUUGAGGCAUUCAAUUGUUUUGGUCAUACUGCUCAUUUGUUUGGUAAAUGCUAUUAUGGCCUCGCUUAUGACAUCAGCUUGUCAACUUGUUAUUUUGUUGAAAUUAGGUUUUUAAAUGCACGCAGAUCUUCUGGUACUAAAAUUUCUGGACUUUUAACAAAUGCUGAAGAACUAGAACUGGAGGAGAGCUCCGAUGAUUUAGAGGAAGACAGGCUAGAAAUAGGAGAGGAAAGUUCGUGUCAUAUUGAUCAGCACUUUUCCAUUACUGCAGCUCUUUUCCUGAAGCAGGUAACGUACACAUUGAUCAGUACACAUUCAACAUACUAAAGCAUAAGUUCACCAGGUUCAUUUUUUCUUAUUCCUUGAAAUUGAAUUUUGGUGUUUCUUUUGCAGCAGGAAAUUUACAUGUCCAACCUUGAUUUCCUUGAAGAAAAUGAUGAUGAGGUGGACCUAACAUGAUGUACACUUCAUUCAAUUUUCUUGUGUUAGUUAUUAAAUAUUAUAAGUACUAUAUGAUCUUUGGGAGAUCAAGACAUAAUAAUAAAUUUUGUACAUAUCGUGACUUGAGCAUUAUCUAUUUAUAUAUGGAGUAUUAGUUUUAA